ACCCCAUUGGCCAAGUUCGAACGGGAUCCAUCAGGCUUUGCUUGGUGGUGAGAGUGGCGAACGGGUGAGUAAUGCGUGACCGACCUGCCCCAUACACCGGAAUAGCUCCUGGAAACGGGUGGUAAUGCCGGAUGCUCCGACUCCUCGCAUGGGGUGUCGGGAAAGAUUUCAUCGGUAUGGGAUGGGGUCGCGUCCUAUCAGGUAGUCGGCGGGGUAACGGCCCACCGAGCCUACGACGGGUAGCCGGCCUGAGAGGGCGACCGGCCACAUUGGGACUGAGAUACGGCCCAGACUCCUACGGGAGGCAGCAGUGGGGAAUAUUGCACAAUGGGCGCAAGCCUGAUGCAGCGACGCCGCGUGCGGGAUGACGGCCUUCGGGUUGUAAACCGCUUUUGAUCGGGAGCAAGCCUUCGGGUGAGUGUACCUUUCGAAUAAGCACCGGCUAACUACGUGCCAGCAGCCGCGGUAAUACGUAGGGUGCAAGCGUUAUCCGGAAUUAUUGGGCGUAAAGGGCUCGUAGGCGGUUCGUCGCGUCCGGUGUGAAAGUCCAUCGCUUAACGGUGGAUCUGCGCCGGGUACGGGCGGGCUGGAGUGCGGUAGGGGAGACUGGAAUUCCCGGUGUAACGGUGGAAUGUGUAGAUAUCGGGAAGAACACCAAUGGCGAAGGCAGGUCUCUGGGCCGUUACUGACGCUGAGGAGCGAAAGCGUGGGGAGCGAACAGGAUUAGAUACCCUGGUAGUCCACGCCGUAAACGGUGGAUGCUGGAUGUGGGGCCCGUUCCACGGGUUCCGUGUCGGAGCUAACGCGUUAAGCAUCCCGCCUGGGGAGUACGGCCGCAAGGCUAAAACUCAAAGAAAUUGACGGGGGCCCGCACAAGCGGCGGAGCAUGCGGAUUAAUUCGAUGCAACGCGAAGAACCUUACCUGGGCUUGACAUGUUCCCGACAGCCGUAGAGAUAUGGCCUCCCUUCGGGGCGGGUUCACAGGUGGUGCAUGGUCGUCGUCAGCUCGUGUCGUGAGAUGUUGGGUUAAGUCCCGCAACGAGCGCAACCCUCGCCCUGUGUUGCCAGCACGUCAUGGUGGGAACUCACGGGGGACCGCCGGGGUCAACUCGGAGGAAGGUGGGGAUGACGUCAGAUCAUCAUGCCCCUUACGUCCAGGGCUUCACGCAUGCUACAAUGGCCGGUACAACGGGAUGCGACACGGCGACGUGGAGCGGAUCCCUGAAAACCGGUCUCAGUUCGGAUUGGAGUCUGCAACCCGACUCCAUGAAGGCGGAGUCGCUAGUAAUCGCGGAUCAGCAACGCCGCGGUGAAUGCGUUCCCGGGCCUUGUACACACCGCCCGUCAAGUCAUGAAAGUGGGUAGCACCCGAAGCCGGUGGCCUAACCCUUUUGUGGAUGGAGCCCGGUUUAAAAAGGGGA
rnacentral:rRNA from 1 species